CUGCUGCCUUCCGUAGGAGUCUGGUCCGUGUCUCAGUACCAGUGUGGGGGACCUUCCUCUCAGAACCCCUACGCAUCGUCGGUUAGGUGGGCCGUUACCCCGCCUACUGCCUAAUGCGCCGCAUGCCCAUCCCUGUCCGGCCGAAGCCUUUCCUGCCUCCGGGAUGCCCCGGUGGCAUGUACGCGGGUUUAGCCCGCCUUUCGGCGGGUUGUCCCCCUGUACAGGGGCAGGUUGCAUACGUGUUACUCACCCGUGCGCCGGUCGCCGGCGGAGAA
rnacentral:rRNA from 1 species